GGGGAUGUAGCUCAGUGGCAGAGCACUUGCUUAUUAUGUAAAAGGUCCUGGAUUCAAUCACUAGUACCACCA
rnacentral:tRNA from 1 species